AUCAUUAUAGAGUUUUUUAAACUCCCAACCCUAUGUGAACUUACCUAUGUUGCCUCGGCGGGGCCUACCCCGGUAUCCUCCUUUUUGGGAGUCGUUACCCUGUAGCCCGCCGGUGGAUUUUCAAACUCUUGUUAUUCUAGUGAUAUCUGAGCGUCUUAUUUUAAUAAGUCAAAACUUUCAACAACGGAUCUCUUGGUUCUGGCAUCGAUGAAGAACGCAGCGAAAUGCGAUAAGUAAUGUGAAUUGCAGAAUUCAGUGAAUCAUCGAAUCUUUGAACGCACAUUGCGCCCAUUAGUAUUCUAGUGGGCAUGCCUGUUCGAGCGUCAUUUCAACCCUUAAGCCUAGCUUAGUGUUGGGAGUCUACACAAUGGUGAUUCUUUUAUCACCGUGUAGUUCCUAAAAUGAAACGGCGGAUCUGCAGUAUCCUCUGAGCGUAGUAAAUUCUUAUCUCGCUUUUGUCAGGUGCUGUGGCUCUUGCCGCUAAACCCCCUAAUUUUAAUGGUGA
rnacentral:rRNA from 1 species